rnacentral:snoRNA from 1 species
UCGUAAGAUGAGAAAGAGCGAUACGCUCGAUUUAACCCAGCUCGUUGAAGCGGGAGUAACGCCCCAUUAUGCUCAUGAGAUAAAUUCAUACUCUGACUC